rnacentral:rRNA from 1 species
UACGUAGGUUGCGAGCGUUAAUCGGAAUUACUGGGCGUAAAGCGUGCGCAGGCGGUCUGCUAAGACAGGUGUGAAAUCCCUGGGCUCAACCUAGGAAUUGCGCUUGUGACUGGCGGGCUAGAGUACGGUAGAGGGGGGUGGAAUUCCUGGUGUAGCAGUGAAAUGCGUAGAGAUCAGGAGGAACACAGAUGGCGAAGGCAGCCCCCUGGGCCUGUACUGACGCUCAGGCACGAAAGCGUGGGGAGCAAACAGG